AGUACCACCAAACACAGCUUUUGUUGUUGUAAGACGAGCUGGGUGUGGUGGCACGCACAUGC
rnacentral:miRNA from 1 species